rnacentral:rRNA from 1 species
GGUGAACGCUGGCGGUAGGCCUAACACAUGCAAGUCGAACGGCAGCACAGUAAGAGCUUGCUCUUACGGGUGGCGAGUGGCGGACGGGUGAGGAAUACAUCGGAAUCUACUUUUUCGUGGGGGAUAACGUAGGGAAACUUACGCUAAUACCGCAUACGACCUACGGGUGAAAGCAGGGGAUCUUCGGACCUUGCGCGAUUGAAUGAGCCGAUGUCGGAUUAGCUAGUUGGCGGGGUAAAGGCCCACCAAGGCGACGAUCCGUAGCUGGUCUGAGAGGAUGAUAAGCCACACUGGAACUGAGACACGGUCCAGACUCCUACGGGAGGCAGCAGUGGGGAAUAUUGGACAAUGGGCGCAAGCCUGAUCCAGCCAUACCGCGUGGGUGAAGAAGGCCUUCGGGUUGUAAAGCCCUUUUGUUGGGAAAGAAAAGCAGCAGGUUAAUACCCCGCUGUUCUGACGGUACCCAAUGAAUAAGCACCGGCUAACUUCGUG